CCCUUAGAUGUCCUGGGCCGCACGCGCGUUACACUGAUGCAUUCAACGAGCUUAUAACCUUUGCCGAGAGGCCUGGGCAAUCUUGUUAACGUGCAUCGUGAUAGGGAUAGAUUAUUGAAAUUAUUAAUCUUGAACGAGGAAUUCCUAGUAAACGCAGAUCAUCAAUCUGCAUUGAUUACGUCCCUGCCCUUUGUACACACCGCCCGUCGCACCUACCGAUUGGAUGGUCCGGUGAAGCCUCGGGAUUGUGGUUCUUGCCGCUUUAUUGUGGCGUGACCGCGAGAACUUGUCUAAACCUUAUCAUCUAGAGGAAGGUGAAGUCGUAACA
rnacentral:rRNA from 1 species